UAAGGAAUAUUGCUCAAUGGGAGAAAUCCUGAAGCAGCAACGCCGCGUGGAGGAUGAAGGGUCUAUGACUUGUAAACUCCUGUAAAGAAGGAAAAAAUUCCCAUUUGAUGGGAGAUGAUGGUACUUCUGGAGUAAGCCCCGGCUAACUACGUGCCAGCAGCCGCGGUAAUACGUAGGGGGCAAGCGUUGUCCGGAUUUACUGGGUGUAAAGGGUGCUCAGGCGGAUUUGUAAGUCAGAGGUGAAAUCUUACAGCUUAACUGUGAAACUGCCUUUGAUACUGCAAGCCUGGAGUAUGGAAGAGAGUGAUGGAAUAUCUGGUGUAGCAGUGAAAUGCGUAGAUAUCAGAUAGAACACCAAUGGCGAAGGCAGUCACUUGGUCCAUUACUGACGCUAAAGCACGAAAGCGUGGGUAGCAAAC
rnacentral:rRNA from 1 species